rnacentral:rRNA from 1 species
GGUCCUACGGGAGGCAGCAGUGGGGAAUAUUGGGCAAUGGGCGCAAGCCUGACCCAGCAACGCCGCGUGAAGGAAGAAGUAUUUCGGUAUGUAAAGCUCUAUCAGCAGGGAAGAAAAUGACAGUACCUGACCAAGAAGCCCCGGCUAACUACGUGCCAGCAGCCGCGGUAAUACGUAGGGGGCAAGCGUUAUCCGAAUUUACUGGGUGUAAAGGGAGCGUAGACGGUUAUGUAAGUCUGGAGUGAAAGCCCGGGGCCCAACCCCGGGACUGCUUUGGAAACUGUGUAACUGGAGUACAGGAGGGG